GAUGAACGCUAGCGGCAGGCCUAAUACAUGCAAGUCGAACGGUAAGGCUCCUUCGGGAGUACACGAGUGGCGCACGGGUGCGUAACGCGUAUGCAACCUACCUUUAACUAAAGAAUAGCCCCGAGAAAUCGGGAUUAAUACUUCAUAACAAUAAGUUUUUGGCAUCAUUACUUAUUUAAAGCUCCGGCGGUUAAAGAUGGGCAUGCGUGACAUUAGUUAGUUGGUAAGGUAACGGCUUACCAAGACAUCGAUGUCUAGGGGUUCUGAGAGGAUUAUCCCCCACACUGGUACUAAGACACGGACCAG
rnacentral:rRNA from 1 species